rnacentral:rRNA from 1 species
UCAGUUCAGACUGCAGGCUGCAACUCGCCUGCACGAAGUCGGAAUUGCUAGUAAUCGUAGGUCAGCAUACUACGGUGAAUACGUUCCCGGGCCUUGUACACACCGCCCGUCACACCAUGAGAGUCGGGAACACCCGAAGUCCGUAGCCUAACCGCAAGGGGGGCGCGGCCGAAGGUGGGUUCGAUAAUUGGGGUGAAGUCGUAACAAGGUAGC